rnacentral:rRNA from 1 species
ACAGGGAUUGCCUUAGUAACGGCGAGUGAAGCGGCAACAGCUCAAAUUUGAAAUCUGGCKUCUUCGGCGUCCGAGUUGUAAUUUGCAGAGGGCGCUUUGGCAUUGGCAGCGGUCCAAGUUCCUUGGAACAGGACGUCACAGAGGGUGAGAAUCCCGUACGUGGUCGCUAGCCUUUACCGUGUAAAGCCCCUUCGACGAGUCGAGUUGUUUGGGAAUGCAGCUCUAAAUGGGAGGUAAAUUUCUUCUAAAGCUAAAUACUGGCCAGAGACCGAUAGCGCACAAGUAGAGUGAUCGAAAGAUGAAAAGCACUUUGGAAAGAGAGUUAAAAAGCACGUGAAAUUGUUGAAAGGGAAGCGCUUGCAGCCAGACUUGCCUGUAGUUGCUCAUCCGGGUUUCUACCCGGUGCACUCUUCUAUAGGCAGGCCAGCAUCAGUUUGGGCGGUUGGAUAAAGGUCUCUGUCAUGUACCUCUCUUCGGGGAGAACUUAUAGGGGAGACGACAUGCAACCAGCCUGGACUGAGGUCCGCGCAUCUGCUAGGAUGCUGGCGUAAUGGCUGUAAGCGGCCCGUCUUGAAACACGGACCAAGGAGUCUAACAUCUAUGCGAGUGUUUGGGUGUCAAGCCCGAGCGCGUAAUGAAAGUGAACGGAGGUGGGAACCUUUCGGGGUGCACCAUCGACCGAUCCUGAUGUCUUCGGAUGGAUUUGAGUAAGAGCAUAGCUGUUGGGACCCGAAAGAUGGUGAACUAUGCUUGAAUAGGGUGAAGCCAGAGGAAACUCUGGUGGAGGCUCGCAGCGGUUCUGACGUGCAAAUCGAUCGUCAAAUUUGGGCAUAGGGGCGAAAGACUAAUCGAACUAUCUAGUAGCUGGUUCCUGCCGAGUCU